AGUAGCAGCUUAGAGACCAACUAAGUUAGUCAUUCGUAUGAGCUUUCGUGUGCAUGCACACGAAAGCUCAUACCAGUAACUAACUUAGUUGGUCUCUAAGCUACUACU